GGUGUGAUCACAGCUCACUAUAGUCUCGAUCUCCUGGGCCUCCCACAUCAGCCUUAUCACUCAUUCUGGGGGCAGCCCUCUGGCAUGUAAUGAGCAGUCCUAUGGAGAGGCCCAUGUGACAGUAGCCAUGCGAGUGACACUGGAAGUGAAACCUGCAGCUCCAGUCAAGCCUUUAGAAGACUGCAGCCCUGGCUGACAGCUUGACAGCAAACUCAUGAGAGACUCUCAGCUUGAACAACUCAGCUAAACUGUUCCUGGGUUCCUGGUCCUCAAAAACUGUUAUAAAAGACAUUGUGGCUACCAUCUCUCAUCACUCACUCAAAGGGAAGCCAACCACCAUGCAAUGAGAAUCUCAGGUAAUGAGGACCUGAGACCUGUUGUCAAUCACGUGAAUAAGCUUGGGAGGAGAUUCUCCAGCCCCAGUCAAGCCUCAGAAGACUUCAGCCCUAGGUGACAGCUUGAUGAUAAUCUCGGGAGGCAGAACCACCCAACUAAGCCACUCCUGGAUUCCUGACCCUGACCCUGACCCUAGAAACAGUGUGAGCUGGAAUUCUGUGAAGCACAUGACCUCAAGUCUUUGGAUAAAUGGAAACGCAGCUUAUGCCGGAAAGAUGGAAGGCUGGCUGUACUAAUAUCAGAAAUGGAAGAGGAGAGACAUCACUAGAGAUCCCAUGGAUAUUGAAAGGAUAAUAAAGGAGUAUUAUGAGCAUUGUUA
rnacentral:lncRNA from 1 species